UACAGAGGGUGCAAGCGUUAAUCGGAAUUACUGGGCGUAAAGCGCACGUAGGCGGCUUUUUAAGUCAGAUGUGAAAGCCCCGGGCUUAACCUGGGAAUUGCAUUUGAAACUGGAAAACUAGAGUGUGUGAGAGGGGGGUAGAAUUCCAAGUGUAGCGGUGAAAUGCGUAGAGAUUUGGAGGAGUACCAGUGGCGAAGGCGGCCCCCUGGCACAACACUGACGCUCAGGUGCGAAAGCGUGGGGAGCAAACAGG
rnacentral:misc_RNA from 1 species